UACGAAGGGGGCUAGCGUUGUUCGGAAUUACUGGGCGUAAAGCGCACGUAGGCGGAUAUUUAAGUCAGGGGUGAAAUCCCAGAGCUCAACUCUGGAACUGCCUUUGAUACUGGGUAUCUUGAGUAUGGAAGAGGUGAGUGGAAUUCCGAGUGUAGAGGUGAAAUUCGUAGAUAUUCGGAGGAACACCAGAAGCGAAGGCGGACCAACUCGGCCCGAUACUGACGCUGAGGCGCGAAAAGCGUGGGGAGCAAACAGGGAUUAAGAUACCCGGUA
rnacentral:rRNA from 1 species